GCCUUCGUGGUGUAACGGUAGCACACUCGGCGCGUAUUCGAGAAGUCCCGGUUCGAGUCCAGGCGGGGCA
rnacentral:tRNA from 1 species